AUGUAUAACACAUAUGCUGGCAAAGUUGGAUUUAGUAUUAGAAAGAACCAGACAAAGCGUCGACAUGAUGGUACUAUAUAUCAAAAAAGAAUUGUUUGCAGUAACCAAGGCCAUCGAGAAACCGAGUCGUCGAAGGACACUACAAGGACGGAUUGCAAUGCCCGUAUUCAGUUCAGUGUUAGCAGAGAGGGGAUUUGGAUGGUGCAAAAGGUUGUAACCGAUCAUAAUCAUUAUCUUGCUAGUCCCAAUAAGGUGCACAAACUGAGGUCCCAACGACGUGUUAUAGAAGCAGACAGACAUCUAAUUGGCCAGAUACGGGAAGCCGGAAUGAAGCCAUCCCAGGUGUAUGACUUCAUGGUAGCGUUUUACGGAGGACCAGACAAAGUGCCAUUCGCAAAGAUGGACUGCAAUAACGAGAUUGGUCGUGAGCGCAAAAAGUACUUAGAAUCAAAUGAUUCACAAACACUUCUAGAAUACUUGAAAAAUAAGCAGAGAGAGGAUCCAACAUUUUUUUAUGCCAUUCAAGUAGAUGAGAAAGAUGGUCGGAUUGCUAAUUUCUUUUGGGCAGACGGACAGUUUAUCAUGGAUUACGCAUGUUUCGGAGAUGCUAUAUCAUUUGACACUACGUUUCAAACUAAUAAGUUUGAAAUGCCUUUUGCUCCAAUCCUGGGAACCAACCAUCACAAGCAGACUAUAAUUUUUGGGGCAGCGUUGUUAUAUAAUGAGACCAUUGAGUCAUUUGUUUGGUUGUUUGAAACCUUUCUAACAGCAAUGUCAGGUAAGCAUCCAAGCACAAUUUUCACUGAUCAGGAUGCGGCCAUGGCAGGAGCAGUUGCAUAUGUGUUUCGAAAUACAAGUCAUCGACUUUGUCUAUGGCACAUUUAUCUUAAUGCUGCUAAAUAUCUUGGACAUGUAAUUCAUGAGCAUCCUGAGAAGUUUCUACCUGGUUUUAAGAGAUGUGUCUAUGAAGAUAGAUCAGAGUAUAAGUUCAACAAGAAGUGGCAUGAAUUAUUGGAUCGGUACAACCUCCAGGACAACGAAUGGAUGGCAAAGUUAUAUGAGUUGAGGGAAAAGUGGGCUGCUGUCUAUCGCGACUCGUUUACAGCUGAUAUGAACUUGACUCAAAGGAGUGAAGGUAUGAAUAAUGUCUUCAAGCAAAGAUUUCGUAGGAGACUUGGUCUCUGUGAACUCCUUGUAGAAUGUGAGAAGGUUUCUCAUAGUCUUCGGGAAAAUGAGUUGGAUGCAGAUUUUAGUUCGCGUCGAAAGAACCCGAUUACUUACUCAUCUAAGUUACCUUUGCUGAAGACCGCAUCCGAAUCAUAUACAAGGAGGAUGUAUUCGGAGUUCGAGGAAGAAUUUACAGGACAAUUUUUGAUGUCUUGUAAAUUGUUACAAACUGAGGGGUCAGUGUUGACAUACAUGGUUACACAUAUGAAUAGUGAGUAUGGAACAAAAGUUAUAUUCAAUACUGCGGAUACUACCAUUACAUGUUGUUGCAGAAAGUAUGAAUCCAUAGGUAUGUAUGCUUUAUUUAAUUUCCAAUAUACUAGUUUCUAA
rnacentral:rRNA from 1 species